rnacentral:rRNA from 1 species
UACAGAGGCCCCAAGCGUUGUUCGGAUUCACUGGGCGUAAAGGGUGCGUAGGUGGCUUGGAAAGUUUGAUGUGAAAGCUCAGGGCUUAACCCUGAAAUGGCAUUGAAUACUAUCGAGCUGGAGGUUUGGAGGGGGGACUGGAAUUCUCGGUGUAGCAGUGAAAUGCGUAGAUAUCGAGAGGAACACCAGUGGCGAAGGCGAGUCCCUGGACAACACCUGACACUGAGGCACGAAAGCCGGGGGGAGCAAACAGG